UACGUAAGUGGCGAGCGUUAUCCGGAAUUACUGGGCGUAAAGCGUGCGUAGACGGUUAUGUAAGUCGGGUGUGAAAGCCCCGGGCUCAACCUGGGAAUGCCAUUCGAGACUGCAUAGCUAGGGUGCGGAAGAGGGAAGCGGAAUUUCCGGUGUAGCGGUGAAAUGCGUAGAUAUCGGAAGGAACACCAGUGGCGAAAGCGGCUUCCUGGUCCAGCACCGACGUUCAGGCACGAAAGCGUGGGGAGCAAACAGG
rnacentral:rRNA from 1 species